GUUUCUUUUAAAGUAUAGCUCAAAAGCCAGCUUCUACCUAAAGAUUUUCCUAAUCUCCUACUUUUAUGUGUUUUCUCACUCUUGUAGUUAUCUCCUGUUUACACAUCUAAUAAUAAUAAUGUCUAGCAUUUACUCUAAAGGUUGCAAAGUAUUUUUUUAGUAAACAUUUUCUCAUUUUAUCCUGAGAACAAUUUGAAGGACAGGUAGUAUUAUUAUUCCUGUUUUACAGUUGGAAAAACCAAGGCAGAAAAUGGUUCUGUGUUUGUCGAACCUGUGUAUGCAGCAAGAUUUGAACUCAGGUCUUCUUGAUUCCAGAUCCAGUGCUCUUUUCAUUGAUUUGCCCAGAAAGAAGAGAUUCAUCAAAAUCCCUAGCAAAACUAAAGUUAGGACAACUGAUGAUGGCCCAGCCUGCGUGGAUGACCUUAGUAUCUCUGAUGUCUGAUCCAGCUCUAAGAGUUCCACAGCACCUGCUUCAGACACCUUCAUAGGGCUGGAACGAAUUGUUCUUUUUCAACCAUUUUGCAAGCUUAAGUCUUCAUGUGUUUAGUGUAGACACACCUUUAACUCAUCUAUGGGUCUGAGGCUUAUCAAUCAGGGAGUAAAGAAUAUUCGAAUGAAAACUAGACCUAAAUAUAGUGGGGUAACAGAGGCAACUCUGAAUAUGAAAUCAGGGACUUAUAAGGAUGGAGUUAAAGAGGAGGAAGGAUUAAUUCCUCCAGGGAUUAGUUUCUGGUCUAGUCUACAGGCUAUGGGGAAAUGAUGGCAAAAGAAAUUAUUUAAUAAGUGCAGUCAACACUGCAAUUCUUCUAUUUGGAAUUAUGUAUCUUAUGAUGUAUCUUUUUCAUCUCUGACAGCCAUUAAGACUAAACAAACUAAACUUAGAACCAUGUUCAUGCAUAUAUAAUUUAUAAAUGAAUAAAUGAAUUACAGUAGGAUGUCUCCAAAGUCUAAAAGCAAUAUUCAGCUGUUAAAUAGCGAUUAAAAUUUAAUAUCCUACCAAGACAUUUGGGAAACCUGGAUUCAUUUAUUUUGGAGAGGAGGGUUCAAAAUUUUUUGAAACAAAAGGGGAGCUCAAUCAAAAUCCUUUUGAGAUCUCUGGUUGAGGUUUCAGAGAUUACUAGGCAUAGGGAAUAUUCAUCAUAACCUAGGAUAUAGUCUUAGAAUCACCCAAAGGCCUUGAUCUAAAGAAAAGAUUAAGCCUGAGGGCAUUCGCUAGUAGGGUAGACCUUCUUCUCUAUCUUAAACAGUUUGAUAGCUAAGGUGAACUUGCUGCUUGGAAAAAAGGGUAGAUUCUGGAGUCUUAAUGAGUUUGGUGUAAUAAUUCACCAAGUCCUGAGAACAGGCAAGACCAUCAAGGCCUCUUUCCUCUUACCAUAACUCCCAGAUGACAUCCAUGGUUAUCUCUUAUCAUUCCCCCUUUAGAAGACAUCUGUAAGCUUCCUUAUAAUCCUUCCUGUGUUGUUUAUUGUAUGUAUUAGAAACAUAGAUAUUUGUUAAUAUAUGCAUUUCCCCAAAAGGCCCACACUAUCCAAAAUUGCACAACAACAACAACAAAAAAAAGCACAGGCUUGGGGAGAGCUGGGUGGCUCAGUGGAUAGAGCCAGGACUAGAGACAGGAGGUCCUGGGUUCAAAUGUGACCUCAGAUACUUCCUUGCUGUGUGACAAGUUAUUUAAUCACCAUUGCUUAGCCCUUAUCACUGUUUUGCCUUGGAACCAAUUUGCACUAUUGAUUCUAAGACAGGAAAAUGAAGUUUAGGAGCACAGCCCUCAAAAACUUCAUCAGUGACAUGAAAAGGAACCUCUAACAAUGGUAGCACUGAUUUUUUUUUUGUUGUUAUCAUGCAAAACUCACUUCCACAUUGGUUGUGGUAAGAGCACACUUAGACAACCCAAACCCCCAAAUAGAAAUGUCAAUAGGUAGCCGGGUUUUAUACAUGUCCAAUGGUCAAUGGCUGAGUUCUUAGCUACUCCUGCUGCUCCACUUACACUCGGGCUCUGUCCUAACAAGCUGGCAGGCCACAACUCCAGAGGGCUGAAGCCUUGCCUCGUGGAAGGCAGUGGAGGUGGAGAUUGGGGUAAGGGAGACCUGCUGGCCCAGGGCCAAUUUCUCCUCGGCCGGAGGGAAUGCAGCGACACUAUGACAUUUUCCUGUGCAAAGACCCAAUGUUGGUGGACCCUAUUGUUCCAAGGGUUGUAGCUUGUGAGUUACUGUGAAAUGGUGCCUUUUUCAACAUACUGCUGGUUUCUGGAGACAAACAUUGGAGUGAUGGUCAAGAUUUACUACUGUAGCAACUGGGUUGGAAUGAAUUACAGUGUUUGAGAUGGGUGUUCUAGUAGAAUUGACUCUGUGUAUGUGUGUCUGCACAAAUAUAUGAAUACAUGUAUGUACAUCCAUGGGCAUGUAAUCCCAACGACCACUUUUUGGUGAUACUUCCAACUCCUUUGAGUUCUUUGAUCAGAGAUCUUCCCUCCUGGUUCAGAUGUGUCAGACAUGCACACAUACACACACAGAUACAGAUUUGAAUGACAGAAGAUUUGAGUUCAAAUGCUGCCUCAAACCUUACUAGCCUUUGGACCCCCAGGUGAGUAACAGAAUGUGUUUUCUCAACUAUAAAAUGUUGAAUCUUUGACAUAUGCUUCAUUUCCUAGAGCACGAUAUUUCAUCACAGCCCUUGACUGAUGGGGAUCUACUUUAUUUCCCACUUUUUAAUUUGGGGGAACUUUUUAAAAUCAAUUACCUCCUUGGAGUACGGGCAGUAGUUAGGAAUGAGACGGGGGGCCUUUAUUUGCCCAAUUCCAAAAUGGCGAUACUAAAUCACGUCUCUCCCAGAAAUGCACUCGGUUUCUUGAUUCUUGAGAGUUGCAGCUACCUCAAUACAUUCAGGCCCACUUUUCAUUCUAGACAUGUAAAAAAUAGACUCGAAUACAGGACUACAAUCCCCAUGAGCCUUUGCUCCACUUCCCCAGAAUGCCUUGUAAUCUCACCUGGGCCGAGAUCGAGAAGAUAUUUAAGCAAAGGCUUUUGAAGGCCUCGGGGCUUUUUGGACUUCCGUUUUUGGAGCAGAGGCGUCUCUUCCAUGAUGUGAGGUUAUUUUGUCUAGGCCUUUGGCCUAGGCACAUGUUUCUUACUUGUAUAUUCUUAAUCUUUAACUUUAAUAAACCUCUAAAAAAUAUAAUACUCCUUGUAGAGAGAAACUAAUUUCUACCUGCCUCAGAUGCCUCAGUCUCCCCCUCUCCCCUAAAUUUUAAUCAUUACAGUUAUGGCGACCUAAUGGGAAAAAAACUCAGUCUUCUGAUUUCUUUUCUGAUCUUAAAUUCAAUUUUAAUAGCUAGUACCUAGAAAUUUUUUUUUUGAGCCAUAUCUCACUGGCCAAGGUUUUCUACCCUCGCAAAGCUGCUACAGACUCCGGACCUGCUGCCCACCCCACCUGGCUCGGUCCCGCCGCUUCCUGCCUCAGCCUGCAGCCCUGAUUGUCCUCACCUGGUACCUGGUCCCGGCCUUGCCCACCCCCACAGCCGCUCCAGCUCCAGCUCCUGGCCUCUCACCGGCCCGCUGCCUGCCUAUUUCUGUGCCUAAGACCCUCGAGCGUGACCCCAGCCGGCUUAUCACCCAGAUCCUUGGAGCAGAUCGCUCAGGACUCAUUGCGACCAGCUGGUAACAGUAUUGGCCACGUGGGCGGAGGGGAGAGACCAGAGGGAAAGGAGACCGGGCAAUUUUCCCUUAGGCUAAGCCUCCACGUGGAUGGGGGUAUUGGCCACAGGGGUAUCAGAGAGGGGAAAGACAGAAAAGACUAAAGAGAAGAAACAGAUCUUUUCAAACAGAAACUUAAUAGCAAUGGGCUGUUUAAAAGGAUUUUUGACUCUUCUGGCAGUUUCAUUGAUUUUACCUGCCUGUCUGGGAGCAGACUCAGCCCAAAGAUUCAACUUUAACUUUGGGGAGGAAAAUGGGUGGCCCAGCGAACUGGAAGCCAGGCCCAGAGACGGGAGGUCUCUAGUUAAAAUCUGGCCUCAGAUACUCCCCAGCUAUGGGGCCCUGGACGGAUCCCUUGAACCCCAUAGCCUAGCCUUUACUACUCUACCUUCGGACAAUAGACAUUUAAAUGGAUAAAUAAAAAGAAACAAACAAAAAAAAACCCCAAGGAACUUUGAAGAGGCUAAAGGCUAUAUUCUAAGGCAUUUCAGACUCUAAUGGUUUAUAAAAUUAUCUGUAUUCUAUUGCAUUUUUUGUUUAAGAUAUAACUUUGUGAUUUUAAGUUCAUAUAUUACUGGAUUGAAUAUUAUUCUGUGAACUGAAGGUUGAUGGAAUUUAUUUUGAAUGUACUGAGUUUUGAAAUUCUGUUGUUUUCCCCCUAUAACUGUGUUGAAAAAAUAUUAUUGUGAAUAAGCCCAUAUAUGAAAAAACAGCUUUUUUCUAUUUUGCUGAGGAUAGAUGGACUUCAGAACUGGUUAUAAUUGUAUUAACAACCUUUGAAAAUUUAAUGUGCUAAAUACCUCAAAUGAUUUGAUUUUAAGGGUUUUUUAAAUAUGAUUUUGGAAUUUUUUUUAACAAUCUGGUUAUUUUGCCUGCCCCUGCCACGAGGUAAGGCCCAUUCUAGUAGCUGAAGUGAAAUGUAUUUUAUAACCCCCAACCUUCCCACAUGUGAAUGGAAGUUGGGCAGUUAAUUUCAGGGCAUUUGUACCCUUGGGAAAAGCCUCCAAGAACAAGGAGCACCCCUUUAUUUAUGCUCUUCAGCUCACUAUUUUACUUCUACCAGGAUGAUAUAUAGAUUUCUUGAUUAUGUUCUAAACCCAAGAUGAGUUUUACUUUGUUUUAAAAUAUGUUUAAAUACCAAGGUUGAAGGAUUGCUCUGUUUGUAAAAAUUGUGACAAAUGUCCAUCAAUUCAUAGGUUUUAAAAAUGUCAUACAGCAACUUAUGUGAAAUAUGAAAGUGUGUUUGUUUGCUAUUGUAAUUAAUUGGGCUAUUGAGAAUUUUGGGGAUUUUGGUAACUACAUAGUUGUACUACUGUAUUUUUAAAGAUGAAAAAAUUGUUAACCUUGUUCAAUUCAUUUGCCUUCUACUCACAGUGAUCAUGGCCAGAUACAAAGAGGAAAUGGAUCUCAUUUUUUGGUGAGAAAGCCUGGCAUAUCUCUUGCCAAUUGAUUCAUAUACCUCAUACCUCAGCCAUGCAUCCCUAACUGAUUCUGAAUCUUUCAAUCACCCACAACACGGGGGAAUGUAAAAAAUAUCAUUAUUUAAAUUGCAAAGUUUAAAUUCCUUUUGAGAAGAAUUUUAGGUGAAGAAGAUGCUACCUCUCUGAAUCCAGAACUGAACUGUUGGAGAAGCCACCAUGAAGAAGCCUCCAGACCACAAGUUGCACAAAAUUGAACUUUGGGUGUGGUUGAUUGAACAUUUAUUUGUAUGUAUACUUUUAUGCCAAAGGGGACUGCCCCCUAACGGCUUUUUGUCAAUGUGUUCAGAAAUUAUUGGUUUUAUUCUUUUUUCUCUUAUCCUCACACUAUUGUAAUCUUUUAAGUUUAUUAUGUUUUUAUGAUCCUUUUGGGGAAAAAUUAAUUUUUCCACAAAUGAUCACACGGGGGGAUGUAAAAAAUAGACUCGAAUACAGGACUACAAUCCCCAUGAGCCUUUGCUCCACUUCCCCAGAAUGCCUUGUAAUCUCACCUGGGCUGAGAUCGAGAAGAUAUUUAAGCAAAGGCUUUUGAAGGCCUCGGGGCUUUUUGGACUUCCGUUUUUGGAGCAGAGGCGUCUCUUCCAUGAUGUGAGGUUAUUUUGUCUAGGCCUUUGGCCUAGGCACAUGUUUCUUACUUGUAUAUUCUUAAUCUUUAACUUUAAUAAACCUCUAAAAAAUAUAA